GGCGUCCUGGAGGCGGUGCCUUGAGUGGGGGCAGGAUAAGAGUCCUGGAGGCGGGCAUUAGGGCGGGGAUAAAUGCCAAUGGGUUCAGGAAGCGGGACUCAGAGCAGAGCCCAGGAGACAGGUCUUAGGGCGGGGCUAAGGCCAGACCCAGAGAAGGUCUCAGGAGGCGGGGCAGGGGCGGGGCGUUGACUAUGUCGUAGCACAUGGCCAGGCGGUGCGUGGACUCUGGGAGGCGAAGCUUAGGACGGGCCCACGUGGGGAGGAGCCCAGGGUCCGGGAAGCGGGGACGAGUCCGGGCUGGGCUGCGCUCAGGAGGCGGGCCCUCGGAGGCGGAGCUUAGGGAGGGGCCGGUGUCGGGAGGGACCCAGGGACUGGGAGGCCGGUCGGGGCUGGGCUCGGGGGCCGAGACCUAGCUGGGCUUGGGGCGGGGCCGAGACGGAGCGAGGGGUCCAGGGUGUGGGAAACGGGGAGGGAUUUGAGGAGGGGAUCGGAAUGUGACUCAAGUUCGGGAGGCGUUACCUGCGGAGGGUUUGAGGCAGGCCCAGGAGCGAGCCCAUGGUCUUCCGACGCGGGGCCGGGGGCGGGCCCCAGGAUCCGGAGCUUCGGGCGGGGCCGAGUCCGGGUUUGGGGCCCGGGAGGCGGGGCCAGUUAGGGCGAGGGUCCCUGGGAUCGUCGGGUCAGGCCUUUGGCUAACGUAGGCACUCUCGCAGUUCCUCCGCCUUCGGAAGGUCUUUUUAGCAGGGGCCUUACGGGUGCAUGCUUCGGUCCUGGAGGCCUUAUCCUAGCCUCCUCUCCAUCAGCGCCACCCGUCUGGGGCCCGAAAGGCGGGGCUUUCCCUCUGUCCCCCAGCCUUUGGACUGUCACCAAACAAGCCAUUUGUUCAUCAAAUACUUUUUAAGCGCCUACCAUGUGCCUGACAAGGGAGAUGUAAUGGUGAGAAAAACUAGGUGUGGUCCAGGCCCUUCAGAGGCUCAGGGGCUCGUGGAAGAAGUGGACAUUGAAGUACUUAUCACACAAAUGAGGAUAAAAGUACGAUAGCGAUAUCUACCACGAAGCUGUUGUUCCACACCAGAACCAAAUGAGCGCAAGAUCUGACAAAGAAAAAAAAAGAUUCAUCUUUUAUUCCUCCAAACACUUUCAUUUAAAUCAAGAGGAUGGGAUGUGGUUAUUGCUGUGUUUUUAGACAGAAUCAACGGUUUCUGGGUCUGAGAUGUUGCAUACACCCUCUCAGUCCCUGUAUCCUGAGAGGGAGUCACCUGAGAAUCCACAGCAAGUCCUAACCAGGGAUGGGUCUGGGUGAUUAAGGAAGAUUGGCUUCAGAACUGGGCCAGGGGCACUGCUUUGCUUUUGCUGUUUUGAUCAGCUCUCUGCCUGCAGGAGACAAGGAAAACCAAUGGGAACAGGUUAGUUAUACUCAUAAAUCCUGGGCUUAUUUUAUUAACUCACAUAAUAGCUAUUAAUUGUCUUUCCUCCAAGGAGCAAAAGGGCAUAUACGGUCAAUGUCAUAGUAAGUAACAUUGUAUUAUGUUAUACUAAAAUAUUAAUAAAUCUAGGUUGGUUCAGUCUUUCCUGAGUCCACAGAUUGGAAGCAGAUUGAGGAAGGACACUAGCGGACCACAGAGCUGAGCCAUGCACACAGAAGAAAUCUUUUUUUCUUUUUUUCUGGAGACGGAGUUUUGCUCUAGUUGUCCAGGCUGGAGUGCAAUGGUGCGAUCUCGGCUCACUGCAAUCUCCACCUCCCAGGUUCAAGCGACUCUCCUGCCUCAGCCUCCCGAGUAGCUGGGAUUACAAGCGUGAGCCACCCUGCCAGGCCACUUUUGUAUUUUUAGUGGAGACAGGGUUUGAACACCUUGGCCAGGCUGGUCUCAAAUUCCUGACCUCAGGUUAUCCACCCGCCUCUGCCUCCCAAAGUGCUGGGAUUACAGGCGUGACCCACCGCGCCUGGCCAGAAGAAAUCUUUAUCUUGGUGUGCAGUGUCUGGUGAUGGACAAAUGUCAUCUCUCUUGGAUCUGAAUCUGGAAGGAUCAGGGCACUGAAGGAAUUUUUUUUUUUUUUUCAGACAGUCUCCCUCUGUUGCCAGGCUGGAGUGCAGUAGCACGAUCUCAGCUCACGGCAACCUCUGUCUCCCGGGCUCAAGCGAUUCUCCUGCCUCAGCCUCUCGAGUAGCUGGGACUACAGGCACGCGUCACCACACCCAGCUAAUUUUUGUAUUUUUAGUAGAGACAGGGUUUUACCAUGUUGGCCAGGAUGGUCUCAAUCUCUUGACAUCAUGAUCCACCUGCCUUGGACUCCAAAAGGGCUGGGAUUACAGGUGUGAGCCACCAUGCCCGGCCUCACUGAAGGCAUUUUUUUAAUGUCACGUGGCUCUCACAGGUGCGCUGUGUUCAGGAGCAAGUGAAGAUUACGACUGACGCUUAAAAACAAACGUAAAAUUCCAGGUGGUGUUGCUAUGGGUAGCAGUAUUAGGACAAACUGAGUGGUUUCAGUGGCAAGAGUGUGCGUGUACGUGCAAGAACUACAGUCAAGAUUCAACUUCUGGCUUUGAGGGUCUCUUUAAUAACAGUAUCAACAACCUAAGGCAGUUUAACAGUAUGGAAUGGUUGCCUUUUAGAAGUUAAGCUAUGAGCAUGGAAGUUCAAUCAGUACAUUGAAGUUUUUCCUUUAUCUCUCCUAUGGUUAAUGGUUUCUGCAGAAAAGGACCAAUUGAUUUCUUUCUAAAACGUUGCUUCAGGGUGUAGAGACCUUUAUAGGUCAUGUUUCAACUUACAGAACAUUUUUAUAGUUCAAAUAUAAAUUAAGUUCAAUAUGGACUUUGUAACAGAAUUUAAGGUUAAGUAAAAUUUCCACUUUCCUUAGGCUGUUUGCAGUGCCCAGCAGGCCCCAUGAUAUCGAGAUGGAAGUUAUGUUAAAGGAGGAGAUUGGUCAGGGAUGGGCAGAAUAAGGAAUAUGGGCAGCUCAGGCUAAUGAUACAAUGAUUUUAAUGUAGAAAGAGGGUCAGGCAUGGGAUAACGCCUGUAAUCCCACUGCCUUUGGAGGCCAAGACAAGAGAAUCGCUUGAGGUUAGACCAGCCUGGUCAACAGAGUGAGACCUAACCUGUACAAAAAAAACCACAAAAAAACAAAAAAAUUAGUUGGGCAUGGUGGUGUGCGCCUGUAGUCUCAGCCACUUGGAAGGCUGAGGUCAGGGGAUGCCUUGAGCCCAGGAGUUUGAGGCUGCAGUGAGCUAUAAUCACAUAACUGUACUCCUGCCUGGGUGACAGGAUGAGGCCGUGACUCAAAAAAAAAUUGAGUCAGGGAAAAAAUUUGAAAUCUAAAUCCUCAGUACCGAGGAAUGUGACCUUAUUUGGAAAUAGGGUCUUUCUAGAUGUAAUCAAGUAACGAUGAGUCAUCCUGGAUUGGGGGCUGCUGGUGAGGGGGCAGAUGCAAUGACUGGUGUCCUUAUAAAAGAAGAGAAUGAGGGCCGGGCAUGGUGGCUCAUGCCUGUAAUCUCAACACACUUUGGGAGGGUGAGGUGGCGGGAUCAGUUGAAGUCUGGGGUUCGAGACCAGCCUGGGCAAUAAUAACAAUAAAGCCAUUUUAGAUUCCAAUCCACUGAAAGAAAACUGUCCCUUAGUUAAUGUCAUGAUUAUUGGAUCCAUGAAGUCUUUGAAAAUUUAAGCUACAAGGACACUGCUCUCUGAGGUGGUGGAAAGAAUACAAAGGAUUUAAAGGUCUUUAAGAAAGAGAAUGUAGAAAGCGUACUCAUUGGAAACAGCAGGAUGAUGAUAAUCGUACUGACAGCAAUAAUAAGCUCAAAUAUAUAGAGCUUACUAUGUAUCAUGAAUUGUUCUGAAUGCUUUAUAUAUAUAUGUUACCUCGUUUACCCUCACGGCAGCCCAGUAAAGGCGCCAUUCCCCAUUUUACAGCUGGGGAAACUGAGUUACAGAGCUUUUCUGCACUGAGUCAUCAGGGGCAAAUUGUAGAUCAGGUAAUUGAACCCAAGCAAUCUAGUUCCAGAGCCAAAUAGAUGUAUUUUUUAUGGUAUAAAUACAUAUACAUACACUUUUAGGGGAAGGGUGGGUGUAGGAUGGGAUGAGGAUUCUGGGUAAUUGCUUGGUAAAUGGCAAAUACCUUUCUUGUCUGUCCCUCUUUUCAAAUGAUAAAGUAAUUUCAAUUGCAACACUUUUUUUUUUUUUUUUUUUUUGAGACAAGGUCUAGCUGGAGUACAGUGAUGCAGUCAUAGCCCACUGCAGCCUCAAAUUCCUGGGCUCAAGCGAUCCACCCACAUCAGCUUCCCAAGUAGUUGGGACUACAGGCCCACACUACUAUGCCCAGCUAAUUAUUUUAAUUUUUAUAGAUAUGGCAGGUGGGGGUGGGGCUGUCUUGCUGUGUUGCCCAGGCUGGUCUCGAACUCUUGACCUCAAGUGAACCUCCUGCCUCAGCCCCACAAAGCUCUGGAAUUAUAGGUGUGAGCCACUGUGGCUGGCUACAAUGCUAUUUAUUUAUAUUUUAGACCAACACAUAUUCUAGCAUCUAAGAAAUGUGAUGCUCUCUGUACAUUGAAGAGCUGGUCUAAUAUUUGGCCUGGGGCAUACAGAAAUUGCCUGUCUGCUCCGCUCUGGUUGAAGAAACCAGUCGGACUGUCUCUGAGGCUAUGGAGCAGUCCAUCAAGAAUGAAAGCCCUCUGCCAGGCACGUUGGCUCACACCUGUAAUACCAGCACUUUGGGAGGUCGAGGCAGGUGGAUCACUUGAAGUCAGGAGUUCGACACCAGCAUGGCCAACAUGGUGAAACCCUGUCUCUACAAAAAAUAGAAAAAUUAGCUGGGCCUGGUGAUGUGUGCCUGCAAUCCCAGCUACUCAGGAGGCUGAGGCAGGAGAAUCACUUGAACUUGGGAGGCAGAGGUUGCAGUGGGGAGCUGAGAUCACAUCACUGCAUUCCAGCCUGGGUGACAGAGCGAGACUCUCAAAAAAAAAAAAAAAAAAAAAAAAGAAUGAAUGUCUUCAUGAUGGCCUCAAGCACGUUGGUCCCUGAAGAGAGUCAAGGAAGGCCCACUUUACUCUGCACUGCAAAGCAGGCAGGUGGACUGGAAUCUGAGAAGUGGAUUCAGUGAGAGGCAUUGACCCAAAGGAUUUUCUGCCUAAUGGUCGGUCCAGCAGAAGAUUAAACUGAGCACAUCAUCCUGUUCCCUCAAACCAUCUGGUUGGUCAGUGGGGAAUGUUCUUGUCUCGUUAAAUGUCCUCAUGCUACUGUCAAGAUAUCCUGUUACAAAACGUCAUAAACCAGGUUUACAAAUAGGUCAGGUGACUGUGGAAUUUCUCCUUGGCAAGGCCUUAGCUAUGGGAUUGCGAUUGGUGUGCAAUAAUCACAGUGUUCCAGGCCACUUGAGGGAUAAAAUAUACCUUAGGUGAUAAACUGUUGUAUUUUAAUGUGAAUAUUUCCACCAACAUUAAACACUAACCCCAUGAGUUUUCUCAUACCUGUUACACUCUGGAGUUGCAACAAGCUAACAUGAACCAAGUUGCAAACAUAAUUAUCGCAUUUGGCUCCUAUUCACAGCAAAGGUUCUUCAAGCUGUACCGGGGGCAGUCUUCCCUCACAUGAGGUUUAUAGCAUCAUUUAUUUAAUUAUGUAUUUAUUUUUUGAGACGGUGUUUCGCUCUGUCGCCCAGGCUGGAGUGCAAUGGUGCGAUCUUGGCUCACUACAACCUCCGCCCCCCGGGGUUCAAGCGAUUCUCCUGCCUCAGCCUCCCGAGUAGCUGGGAUUAUAGGCACCCGCCACCACACCCGACUAAUUUUUGUAUUUUCGGUAGAGACGGGAUUUCACCAUGUUGACCGCGCUGGUCUCAAACUCCUGACUUCAGUUAGGGUCUCUCUCUCUGCCACCCAGGCCAGAGUGCAGUUGACGCAGGGCAGGGGAGCCCCGAAGUGGAGCAUAGUGUGUCCGGAACUGUUGGGUUCUUGGUCUCACUGACUUCAAGAAAGAAGCCGCGGACCCUCGCGGUGAGUGUCACAGUUCUUAAAGGCGGCGUGUCCAGAGUUUGUUCCUUCUGAUGCUCGGAUGUGUUCAGAGUUUCUUCCUUCUGGUGGUUUUGUGGUCUCGCUGGCUUCAGGAGUGAAGCUGCAGACCUUCAAGAGACAGGGUCUUGCUACGUUGCCCAGGCUGGACUCAAAUUCCUGGGCUCAGGUGAUUCUUCUGCCUCAGCCUCCUGAGUAGCUGAGACUACAGGUGUGUGCCACUGUGCCUAAAAAGAUUUUAAAAAAAUACGUAUGCCCGGACACCACUCUAAACCAACUAAAUCAGAAUCAGAUAUCGUGAAGUCACUAAUCAUUUUGCUCCUGGGUCUUUAUGACAGUUUUGCUCCUGGGAAACUCCUGGGAAUGUGGUAGAGAGAGAGAAAGAGAUGGGAAAAUAAGAUUUUAAGAAGUGUUGCUAUGCAUUUUGAAAAUAAUUUUUAUUUGGUGUUUGUCUUGAGGGACGGCGGUAAACAUUUCAAUUGCCUUUAAGUGUGCUGCAUGCUGGAAUGAUGGUUCUUUGAAUGCAGCAUCAAACUGGCAUUGGGUCACAUGGCAGCCUGCAUUAACCUUUAUGCCACAUUUAUUAAAGAUGAAUGUCAUGAGCCCACUCUCAGGGACCUUAUAAUUUGGAGGGUUAGGUCAGAUCCACAAAUCUCUUGUAUCUCAUUGUAAAGGAAAGCUGGCGUGUAGCAGGAGAUGGUGUGAUAACAAUAACAUAUUGCAUGAUCAAUAUUUGUAUCUUCUUAGCAAUAUUAAACUUUUUGACCUCCUCCAUUGUGUCAUCAAUUUGCUUAACACAGUUUCUUCCUCAGCGUCGUUUUUUAGGCCUGGCAUAAGCUGUUUGAAACCCAGGCAUAUACCCCACCCAUCAUCUUUGGCCUAGUUAACACCUCCCCUCCCUGAGUGGUGCUUUGGAGAACCUGCUUGUUCCUCAUCCCACUGAUCCCAAACCCAGGACACCCCACAGCUGCUGACCAGGAUUAAACCUAACGGAGAUUUAAUGCCGUUAAAUCAGAAGAAAUUCUGAUUCUCAGGGACUGACAUUCAUUCACUUAAAUACUUGCAGAGUCGGCCAGGUGUGGUGGCCCACACCUGUAAUCCCAGCACUUUGGGCAGCCGAGGUGGGUGGAUCAUGAGGUCGAGUUCGAGACCAGCCUGGCCAACAUGCUGAAACCCCGUCUCUACUAAAAAUACAAAAAUUAACUGGUAUAGCUGUGUGUGCCUGUAAUCCCAGCUACUCAGGAGGCUGAGGCAGGGGAUUUGCUUGAACCUGGGAGGUGGAGGUUGCAGUGAGCCAAGAUUAUGCCAUUGCACUCCAGCCUGGGCAGCAGAGCGAGACUCUGUCUCAAAAAACAAAAAAACCCAAAAACUUGCAGAGUGAAUUUAGGAAACCAUGUAGUUUACAGUUUGAUGCAAUGUCUUCCUUUUCCUCUUUCUCAAAUAUUUUGAGCCAGGUACUAUCCUAGAUUGUCUUGUGAUAUUUACAAUCUAGGAGAAGGCAGGAGAGAGAACUAAGAACAGAGAGCAUGUUCUGAGAUGUCUGCUGUGUCUGCAGGUACCUUCCCUCAAUUUCCCUAUUCACUGGCCAUGAUGGAAAGCAGGUCUUGGAGCCAUAUUUGUACCAUGGUACUUCCCCUUCCUAUACUCAAUUGGUUGGCCAGAAGCCCAAUUGUCAUUCUCUCUCUCUCUCUCUCUCUCCCUCUCCCUCUCUCCCUCCCUCCCUCCCUCCCUCUCCAAGAUAUCCAGUAACUGACUGAUCAGCUGGCGGUGGGCUCUGCUGGCUGCCAUGAUGGGCCACCAGCAAAAAGGGAAAAUUGGUUGUGAGUGAGAAGAAGAGAUAAGAAAGUCCACAGGGCUGAUAAGAAAGACCAUGGGCUUCCAGGUGCGGUGGUUCACGCCUGUAAUCCCAGCACUUUGGGAGACCAGGAUGGCCAGAUCACAAGGUCAGGAGAUCGAGACCAUCCUGGCUCACACGGUGAAAGCCCAUCUCUACUAAAAAUACAAAAAUUAGCUGGGUGUGGUGGCGGGUGCCUGUAGCCCCAGCUAAUUGGGAGGCUGAGGUGGGAGAAUGGCGUUAACCUCAGGAGGUGCAGCUUGCAGUGAACUGAGAUUGCACCACUGCACUCCAGCCUGAGCGACAGAGCGAGACUGCGUCUCAAAAAAAAAAAAAAAAAAAAAAAAGAAAAAAAGAAAAAAAAAGAGACCAUGGGCUUCUGAGAGCAAGAAAGAGGAAUUUUGGUUUCUGUAACUGCAGUUUCCAUUCUCUCAUGGCCUCUCAUUUGUUUCUUGUGCCCAUGAGUUUGCCUGUUAGAGAUAAGGUGUGUUCCUUGUCCUCAAGUUCAUGCAAAUGGGUUUCUGUUACUUACAAUCAUUGUUCCCAGAUAUGGAUGGUGACUGAUGCUCUACUAAAUGCUGAAAAAAAGCAGAGUGGAAGCACAGAAAAGCGGACUUCUCUGAGGAGGUGACGUUAGAGCCCAGUUGGAAGGCAGGAGUAAAUGUGCACCAUGAUUUUUUAGGAUUAAAACCAAGUAUCUCACUGCUUGGGCACGUGUAGAUAGAGGUGAUUUAACGGUAAAGUGUCCCAGUUGUACCCAUUGUGAGUUACCUCACCACAGGGAUUAUGUAGCCCUGAGUUUGCUUAGUGCUUAUUUAUUUUAGGUUGUUGUUUAUCCAAACCUCUUAAAUGAUAUGUGUUUGGAACAGGUAACAGCAUCGUUCAUUGAUGUUGUGGGCAAACCACUAUUUUAUUACUCAAGACUGGGUAAUUUAUAAAGAAAAAGAGGUUUAAUGGGCUCACAGUUCCAUGUGGCUGAAGAAGUCUCGAAAUCAUGGUGGAAGGCAAAAGGAAUGUCUUACAUGGUGGCAGACAAGAGUGAUAGCUAUUUUGGUCAUUGUUCGCUGGCCAUAGAAUUUACUUCUAUAUUUUGAACUAAGAUGAGAGCCAGGCACACAAGACGGUUACAGGUCUGUCUUUUGUUUUUGAUGAUGAUGAUGAGGAUGAUGAUGAUGGUGAUGAUGAUGAAAUGGCUGACAUGGUUGAUGACUUGCUUUUUCUCAUCAUCUCAGACCUAGAUUUUUGGCUGGACAAUUGGCUUGGGAUAGAUGAAAAUCAUUCCUUGUAUCCCCUUAUCUUAAAGUCAAGACUGAACCAGCCUCCAGACUCAAUCUUUCAUGGGACUUCAGAUACCAUGAGGAAUGGGUGUCCCUGCAAUAUUGUCAUGGCUGUCAAAAGUGUUAUUGGAGCUGGGCAAGUGGGCGCUCUCCUGUCAUUCCAUCCUGCUUAGAUUUCCCAUUCAACACCAAUCUUAUUUCCUUUUUUUUUUUUUUUUUGACAGAGUCUUGCUCUGUCUUCUAGGCUGGAGUGCAGUGGUGGGAUCUCGGCUCACUACAGUCUCCACCUCCCAGGUUUAAGUGAUUCUUGUGCCUCAGCCUCCCACGUAGCUGGGGUUGCAGGUGCACAUCAUCAAGCCUGGCUCUCUCUUUUUUUUUUUUUUUUGUACUUUUAGUAGAGACAGGGUUUCGCCAUGUUGGCCAGGCUGGUCUUGAACUCCUAACCGCAAGUGAUCCACCUACCUCUGCCUCCCAAAGUGCUGGGAUUACAGGUGUGAGUCACCGUACCUGGCCCCAUUUCCUCUUAUACCAUAAGUCAUUGCCUGCAGAUGUGUUUUCUCCAUUAGUUUGCAAAAGAUUCCUGAGAGUCGGUCUGUGCCUCAUUUACUCUGGAAUCUCCCUGGCACAAAGCAUAGGGCUUUAUCUUCAGCAGGCAUCCAACAAAUGUUUAGUUUCAUUCAACAGCUCCUCUUACCACUGCCCCCACCUUAUUUGCAGGUGGCUAAGUACAAUCGGAACAAGUAGGUAUCAUAAGAUUUAGUCCAGAGUCAAUUUGAGAAGAAAUUACUUUAGUGAUAUGAAAAUAAACCAUGCUAUUUAGUCAGAAUACUUCUGAGAGUAUCCCCUGUCCAAGCAUUUGCUGAAUUUUGAUCUACUAUUUUUCAGGUGGAACAGUAUGCCUGCAGAGAGUCCAUUUGGACAUAGAUACACUUUCAUACAUUCAUGUCUUUAACAAUAAUUUGUGUCCCUACUGUGUUUGUUCACUAACUCCUUUGAACCUACCACAUAAGCUAUAUCUGUAUUUUCCUUGUAAUUUGGGAGGUCCAAUGCUUCAUUACGCUCAUAUGCCUGAAACUAAUGACGAAAACAGCUCGUUAACCAGCUAGUAUAAAAGUAGCCACCAAAUCAAGUCAAUCACCUGCCUUAAAUCAGCCCAGUAAUCCCAUCUUGAGCGGAGAAGCCUAUUCUGAAUCACAGUCAAGACAUUGAUGGAAAAACAGCUCCCUCUGGGGAUCAAAACCACGCUCACUCCAAAUCCUCCUCCCCAGAGUUCUACUCAUUGCUCACCCACUGAACCCAGAACAAACCAGAAGUGCUUGAAAUGAGGACGGGUAGCUCCGUGUACCAAUCGGAAUUUAAAACUCUAUCAAUUCCUGCUAUAGAAAUGAGGCUUCUCCCCAGGACCAGCAUUCCACGAAGGCAGCCCUUUUCUAGAUGGAGAAAACAGAAUCUGAAGACACCCGUUUCCCUAAACUGCUCUCGCUCAUGUAAACUCCUGGAGGGCAGAGGCAGGCCUGCCAUCUUCAUCAUUGCAUUACCACCACCCAACACUAUCGGGGGACCUGCCCUGAUAAUCAGUCUACAGGUGUAUUCAGCAGCUCCAGAGAGACAGCGACCAGCGAGAAGGGGCCAUGAUGAUGGUGGUGGUUUUGUCAAAACGAAAAUGGGGAUAUGUAGGGAAAAGAAAGAGAGAUCAGACUGUUACUGUGUCUACAUAGAAAGGGAAGACAUAAGAGACUCCAUUUUGGAAAAGACCUGUACUUUAAACAAUUGCUUUGCUGAGAUGUUGUUAAUCUGUAGCUUUGCCCCAGCCACUUUGCCCCAACCACUUUGACCCAAUCUGGAGCUCACAAAAACAUGUGUUGUAUGAAAUCAAGGUUUAAGGCAUGUAGGGCUGUGCAGGAUGUGUCUUGUUAACCAAAUGUUUGCAAGCAGUAUACUUGGUAAAAGUCAUCACCAUUCUCUCGUCUCAAUAAACCAGGGUCACAAUGCACUGUGGAAAGCCGCAGGGACCUCUGCCCUUGAAAGCUGGGUAUUGUCCAAAGUCUCUCCCCAUGUGAUAGUCUGAAAUAUGGCCUCGUGGGAUGAGAAAGACCUGACGGUCCCCCAGCGCGACACCCAUAAAAGGUCUGUGCUGAGGUGGAUUAGUCAAAGAGGAAAGACUCUUGCCGUUGAGAUAGAGGAAGGCCACUGUCUCCUGACUGCCCCUGGGAACUGAAUGUCUCGGUAUAAAACACGAUUGUACAUUUGUUCAAUUCUGAGAUGGGAGAAAAACCGCCCUAUGGUGGGAGGCGAGACAUGUUUACAGCAAUGCCGCCUUGUUAUUCUUUACUCCACUGAGAUGUUUGAGUGGAGAGAAACAUAAAUCUGGCUUACAUGCACGUCCAGUCAUAGUACCUUCCCUUGAACUCCAUUAUGACAUAGAUUCUAUUGCUCACAUGUUUGUUGCUGACUUUCUCCUUAUUAUCACCCUGCCCUCCUACUACAUUCCUUUUUGCUGAAAUAAUGAAGAUAAUAAUCAAUAAAAAACUGAGGGAACUCAGAGGCUGGUGCCAGUGCAGGUCCUUAGUAUGCUAAGCGCCGGUCCCCUGGGCCCACUGUUGUUUCUCUAUA